UGGGGAAUUUUGGACAAUGGGCGAAAGCCUGAUCCAGCAAUGCCGCGUGUGUGAAGAAGGCCUUCGGGUUGUAAAGCACUUUUGUCCGGAAAGAAAUCCUUGGCUCUAAUACAGUCGGGGGAUGACGGUACCGGAAGAAUAAGCACCGGCUAACUACGUGCCAGCAGCCGCGGUAAUACGUAGGGUGCAAGCGUUAAUCGGAAUUACUGGGCGUAAAGCGUGCGCAGGCGGUUUGCUAAGACCGAUGUGAAAUCCCCGGGCUCAACCUGGGAACUGCAUUGGUGACUGGCAGGCUAGAGUAUGGCAGAGGGGGGUAGAAUUCCACGUGUAGCAGUGAAAUGCGUAGAGAUGUGGAGGAAUACCGAUGGCGAAGGCAGCCCCCUGGGCCAAAUACUGACGCUCAUGCACGAAAGCGUGGGGAGCAAACAGGAUUAGAUACCCUGGUAGUCCACGCCCUAAACGAUGUCAACUAGUUGUUGGGGACUUCAUUUCCUUAGUAACGUAGCUAACGCGUGAAGUUGACCGCCUGGGGGAGUACGGUCGCAAGAUUAAAACUUAAAUGAAUUGACGGGGU
rnacentral:rRNA from 1 species